rnacentral:tRNA from 2 species
GCCCGGGUGGCGGAACUAGGUAGACGCAAGGGACUUAAAAUCCCUCGAGGGCAACCUCGUGCCGGUUCAAAUCCGGCCCCGGGCACCA